rnacentral:rRNA from 1 species
AGGGCUACACACGUGCUACAAUGGCAGGUACAGAGUGCAGCGAACUCGCGAGGGUAAGCGAAUCACUUAAAGCCUGUCGUAGUCCGGAUUGGAGUCUGCAACUCGACUCCAUGAAGUCGGAAUCGCUAGUAAUCGCGGAUCAGAAUGCCGCGGUGAAUACGUUCCCGGGCCUUGUACACACCGCCCGUCACACCAUGGGAGUGGGUUGCUCCAGAAGUGGCUAGUCUAACUGCUUGCAGAGGACGGUCACCACGGAGUGAUUCAUGACUGGGGUGAAGUCGUAACAAGGUAGCCCUAGGGGAACCUGGGGCUGGAUCACCUCCUUAUACGAA